GACGAACGCUGGCGGCGUGCUUAACACAUGCAAGUGGAGCGACGAACCGGGCUUCGGCCCGGGGCAAAGCCGCGAACGGGUGAGUAGCACGUGGGUAACCUGCCCCAAAGACCGGGACAACCCGAGGAAACUCGGGCUAAUACCGGAUGUGUUCACUGUCCACAAGGACAGUGAGGAAAGGAAGCUUCGGCCUCCGCUUUGGGAUGGGCCCGCGGCCCAUUAGCUUGUUGGUGAGGUAACGGCUCACCAAGGCUGCGAUGGGUAGCUGGUCUGGGAGGACGAUCAGCCACACUGGGACUGAGACACGGCCCAGACUCCGACGGGAGGCAGCAGUGGGGAAUCUUGCGCAAUGCGCGACAGCGUGACGCAGCAACGCCGCGUGGGGGAAGAAGGCCUUCGGGUUGUAAACCUCUUUCAGGAGGGGCGAAGCUCCGGCAGCGAAUAGCUGUCCGGAGUGACGGUACCUCCACAAGAAGCCCCGGCUAACUACGUGCCAGCCGCCGCCGUAA
rnacentral:rRNA from 1 species